UCAGUGAAAUGCACGCAUCAGUGGUGUUAAUAUCAACAUCAAUUUCCUUUGAUUGCAGAAAGUUGACCACUUGUUGCUCUGUUGAAACCGCAUCCAUGUCAUCUGGUUCUCCUCUGUUGUCAACUGCUCUUGCAUAGGAUGGAGGAUUGAUGCGUAGCCCUACAAUGAUGACGUCAUUCUGUCGUGUAAACGGAUCCAUUUCCUCUUUGAUGUUUUCCAAAACACUUGAUAUUCCCCAGAUUGGAGAUAUCGUCUUGUCUGGCAUUGAGCUGUUGGAGCAAAGAUGGCUCUGCCCUCCUCCACAGCAGACACAAUGGUGGAGAAGUUAUCAUCAGAAAGAACCAUCUCUGAUGCCGAUUUGGCCACUGCUGUGCCAGAGCCCAUGGCGAUGCCGAUUUCUGCUUUUUUCAGGGCGGGGGCGUCAUUCACACCAUCUCCAGUCUAGGAUGUGAAAAGGGAGCAGCCGAGAGGAUCGGCCAUGACAGCUUUUGAUAGCUGGGUCUUCGAUCGCAGCUUCAGAGGUGGAUUGAAACAUGUCACGCCUCACCGACCUCUUGUCAGCUCAUUCAUAAUUCAUAAUUCAUGAAUGGAGGAAAAAUAAAAAGCACUUCUCUACCUUGCAACAGUCAAGAAGUCUAUUGCUAAAUAAAAACAAAAAUGUAGCUUUUAAAACCUUCGACUUUGGCCAAAAUGAUGAACAUGUGCUUCUCAACUUUUGAAAACGUACACAACUGAACUAGACAAAAGUUCUUGAGGGAAAUUGUAUUGUAUUGUAUGUAAUGUAUAAUAUAAAUUGUGAUGCAUAUUAUAUGUGAUA